rnacentral:ncRNA from 1 species
UGAUAGCGAUGAAGCGUGAGGUUGCUGCGCAGGGUGCAGGUUUUCCGUGGAGCGAAUGUCAAGUCAAGAUACUGGCGACAA